UACGUAGGAAGCAAGCGUUGUCCGGAAUCACUGGGCGUAAAGCGCGUGUAGGCGGUAUGGCAAGUCUGCUGUGAAAGCUCUCGGCUUAACCGGUAGAGGUCGGUGGAAACUGCCACACUGGAGGACGGUAGAGGGGGGUGGAAUUCCCGGUGUAGUGGUGAAAUGCGUAGAGAUCGGGAGGAACACCUGUGGCGAAGGCGGCCCCCUGGGCCGGCCCUGACGCUGAGACGCGAAAGCGCGGGGAGCGAACGGG
rnacentral:rRNA from 1 species